rnacentral:rRNA from 1 species
GACGAACGCUGGCGGCGUGCCUAAUACAUGCAAGUCGAACGCUUCUUUCCUCCCGAGUGCUUGCACUCAAUUGGAAAGAGGAGUGGCGGACGGGUGAGUAACACGUGGGUAACCUACCCAUCAGAGGGGGAUAACACUUGGAAACAGGUGCUAAUACCGCAUAACAGUUUAUGCCGCAUGGCAUAAGAGUGAAAGGCGCUUUCGGGUGUCGUUGAUGGAUGGACCCGCGGUGCAUUAGCUAGUUGGUGAGGUAACGGCUCACCAAGGCCACGAUGCAUAGCCGACCUGAGAGGGUGAUCGGCCACACUGGGACUGAGACACGGCCCAGACUCCUACGGGAGGCAGCUGUAGGGAAUCUUCGGCAAUGGACGAAAGUCUGACCGAGCAACGCCGCGUGAGUGAAGAAGGUUUUCGGAUCGUAAAACUCUGUUGUUAGAGAAGAACAAGGACGUUAGUAACUGAACGUCCCCUGACGGUAUCUAACCAGAAAGCCACGGCUAACUACGUG